GAGCAGCAGAACCUCAGAGCAGUAGAACCUCAGAGCAGCAGAACCUCAGAGCAGCAGAACCUCAGAGCAGCAGAACUUCAGAGCAGCAGAACCUCAAAGCAGCAGAACUUCAGAGCAGCAGAACCUCAGAGCAACAGAACUUCAGAGCAGCAGAACCUCAGAGCAGUAGAACCUCAGAGCAGCAGAACCUCAGAGCAACAGAACUUCAGAGCAGCAGAACCUCAGAGCAGCAGAACCUCAGAGCAGCAGAACCUCAGAGCAGCAGAACUUCAGAGCAGUAGAACCUCAGAGCAGCAGAACCUCAGAGCAGCAGAACCUAAGAGCAGCAGAACUUCAGAGCAGCAGAACCUCAGAGCAGCAGAACUUCAGAGCAGUAGAACCUCAAAACAGCCGAACUUCAGAGCAGCAGAACCUCAGAGCAGCAGAACCUCAGAGCAACAGAACUUCAGAGCAGCAGAACCUCAGAGCAGUAGAACCUCAGAGCAGCAGAACCUCAGAGCAGCAGAACCUAAGAGCAGCAGAACUUCAGAGCAGCAGAACUUCAGAGCAACAGAACCUCAGAGCAGCAGAACCUCAGAGCAGCAGAACCUAAGAGCAGCAGAACUUCAGAGCAGCAGAAUCUCAGAGCAGCAGAACUUCAGAGCAGUAGAACCUCAAAACAGCCGAACUUCAGAGCAGCAGAACCUCAGAGCAGCAGAACCUCAGAGCAACAGAACUUCAGAGCAGCAGAACCUCAGAGCAGUAGAACCUCAGAGCAGCAGAACCUCAGAGCAGCAGAACUUCAGAGCAGCAGAACCUCAGAGCAACAGAACUUCAGAGCAGCAGAACCUCAGAGCAACAGAACUUCAGAGCAGUAGAACCUCAGAGCAGCAGAACCUAAGAGCAGCAGAACUUCAGAGCAGCAGCACUUCAGAGCAGCAGAACUUCAGAGCAACAGAACUUCAGAGCAGUAGAACCUCAAAACAGCAGAACUUCAGAGCAGCAGAACCUCAGAGCAGCAGAACCUCAGAGCAACAGAACUUCAGAGCAGCAGAACCUCAGAGCAGUAGAACCUCAGAGCAGCAGAACCUCAGAGCAGCAGAACUUCAGAGCAGCAGAACCUCAGAGCAGCAGAACCUCAGAGCAGCAGAACUUCAGAGCAGCAGAACCUCAGAGCAGCAGAACCUCAGAGCAACAGAACCUCAGAGCAGCAGAACUUCAGAGCAGCAGAACUUCAGAGCAACAUAA
rnacentral:lncRNA from 15 species